UACGUAGGGUGCAAGCGUUGUCCGGAAUUAUUGGGCGUAAAGAGCUCGUAGGCGGUUUGUCGCGUCUGCCUGUGAAAAUCCAGGGCUUAACCCUGGACCUGCAGUGGGUACGGGCAGACUGGAGUGCGGUAGGGGAGAUCGGAAUUCCUGGUGUAGCGGUGAAAUGCGCAGAUAUCAGGAGGAACACCGGUGGCGAAGGCGGAUCUCUGGGCCGUAACUGACGCUGGAGGAGCGAAAGCAUGGGGAGCGAACAGG
rnacentral:rRNA from 1 species